AUGAAGAACGCAGCGAAAUGCGAUACGUAAUGUGAAUUGCAAAUUCAGUGAAUCAUCGAGUCUUUGAACGCACAUUGCGCCCCCUGGUAUUCCGGGGGGCAUGCCUGUCCGAGCGUCAUUGCUGCCCUCAAGCACGGCUUGUGUGUUGGGCCCCGUCCUCCGAUCCCGGGGGACGGGCCCGAAAGGCAGCGGCGGCACCGCGUCCGGUCCUCGAGCGUAUGGGGCUUUGUCACCCGCUCUGUAGGCCCGGCCGGCGCUUGCCGAUCAACCCAAAUUUUUAUCCAGGUUGACCUCGGAUCAGGUAGGGAUACCCGCUGAACUUAAGCAUAUCAAUAAGCGGAGGA
rnacentral:misc_RNA from 1 species